UUCCCUCAACUCUCUUCUCUUAGCCUCACCCUCUCUCUUCUCGUCUCUUUAUCUCCCUCACAUCUAAAACCUCUCGGAUCUCUCUCCAAGUCUUCUCUUGCAGGUGGCUGGUGUAGGAGUCUCGACGGAGACGGCAACGGCGACGAGGCUCGCCUGAAUAAUCAACACUCCAGCAACAAGAGCAACAUGCUUCCCCUUUUCCUGUAGGAUGAAGCCUCUCUCUCUCUCUCUCUUUGUUGUUGAACGUUGCUUUCUUGUCUCGCCAUUUACUGUAGUGGCUGCUUAGUUAUGGAAGUGACAGUGUUGCAAUUCAACUAGCAGAUGAGAAACAUUGGGAUGAUCUAGUCAUAAUCGUUGCAGUGGUAAGUUCACGACAGAAGGUAACAAGUAGCAUCUCAGGAAUGCGUGAGACUGUUGAAACAAGUUUGCUUUUACAACAUAGGGCAAAGGAAGUAGUACCAAUUCUUACUUUGGAAAGACUAUUGGUAACUAGAGUGUAUACAAGGGCAAGAAGAAGAAAUAUAUGUUGUUGGAUAAUGAAUUUAGUGUUUUAUUUUUUUUUUGUAAUUUUUAUUAGAGUAAAUGAUUCUUUGUAAAUACUUUGUAUAAGUUUUAUUAUUUUAAUUUAUAAUUUUUUAGAUUUGUAUAUAAAUGUUUCAUUUAAAUCAUAAUUUUUAAUUUA